AGGGAAUCUUCCACAAUGGACGAAAGUCUGAUGGAGCAACGCCGCGUGAGUGAAGAAGGGUUUCGGCUCGUAAAACUCUGUUGUUAAAGAAGAACAUAUCUGAGAGUAACUGUUCAGGUAUUGACGGUAUUUAACCAGAAAGCCACGGCUAACUACGUGCCAGCAGCCGCGGUAAUACGUAGGUGGCAAGCGUUGUCCGGAUUUAUUGGGCGUAAAGCGAGCGCAGGCGGUUUUUUAAGUCUGAUGUGAAAGCCUUCGGCUCAACCGAAGAAGUGCAUCGGAAACUGGGAAACUUGAGUGCAGAAGAGGACAGUGGAACUCCAUGUGUAGCGGUGAAAUGCGUAGAUAUAUGGAAGAACACCAGUGGCGAAGGCGGCUGUCUGGUCUGUAACUGACGCUGAGGCUCGAAAGUAUGGGUAGCAAACAGGAUUAGAUACCCUGGUAGUCCAUACCGUAAACGAUGAAUGCUAAGUGUUGGAGGGUUUCCGCCCUUCAGUGCUGCAGCUAACGCAUUAAGCAUUCCGCCUGGGGAGUACGGCUGCAAGGCUGAAACUCAAAGGAAUUGACGGGGGCCCGCACAAGCGGUGGAGCAUGUGGUUUAAUUCGAAGCUACGCGAAGAACCUUACCAGGUCUUGACAUACUAUGCAAAUCUAAGAGAUUAGACGUUCCCUUCGGGGACAUGGAUACAGGUGGUGCAUGGUUGUCGUCAGCUCGUGUCGUGAGAUGUUGGGUUAAGUCCC
rnacentral:rRNA from 1 species